rnacentral:rRNA from 1 species
UACGAAGGGGGCUAGCGUUGUUCGGAAUCACUGGGCGUAAAGCGCGCGUAGGCGGGUCGUUAAGUCAGGGGUGAAAUGCCGAGGCUCAACCUCGGAACUGCCUUUGAUACUGGGGAUCUCGAGUCCGGAAGAGGUGAGUGGAACUCCGAGUGUAGAGGUGAAAUUCGUAGAUAUUCGGAAGAACACCAGUGGCGAAGGCGGCUUACUGGUCCGGAUCUGACGCUGAGGCGCGAAAGCGUGGGGAGCAAACAGG